AUUGAACGCUGGCGGCAUGCUUUACACAUGCAAGUCGAACGGCAGCGCGGGCUUCGGCCUGGCGGCGAGUGGCGAACGGGUGAGUAAUACAUCGGAACGUGCCCCGUAGUGGGGGAUAGCUCGGCGAAAGCCGGAUUAAUACCGCAUACGACCUGAGGGUGAAAGCGGGGGAUCUUCGGACCUCUCGCUAUUGGAGCGGCCGAUGGCAGAUUAGCUAGUUGGUGGGGUAAAGGCCUACCAAGGCGACGAUCUGUAGCUGGUCUGAGAGGACGACCAGCCACACUGGGACUGAGACACGGCCCAGACUCCUACGGGAGGCAGCAGUGGGGAAUUUUGGACAAUGGGCGAAAGCCUGAUCCAGCAAUGCCGCGUGUGUGAUGAAGGCCUUCGGGUUGUAAAGCACUUUUGGCGGGAACGAAAAGGACUGUGCCAAUACCACGGUUCGAUGACGGUACCCGCAGAAUAAGCACCGGCUAACUACGUG
rnacentral:rRNA from 1 species